rnacentral:rRNA from 1 species
AGUGAACGCUGGCGGUAGGCCUAACACAUGCAAGUCGAACGGCAGCACAGUAAGAGCUUGCUCUUACGGGUGGCGAGUGGCGGACGGGUGAGGAAUACAUCGGAAUCUACUUUUUCGUGGGGGAUAACGUAGGGAAACUUACGCUAAUACCGCAUACGACCUACGGGUGAAAGCAGGGGAUCUUCGGACCUUGCGCGAUUGAAUGAGCCGAUGUCGGAUUAGCUAGUUGGCGGGGUAAAGGCCCACCAAGGCGACGAUCCGUAGCUGGUCCGAGAGGAUGAUCAGCCACACUGGAACUGAGACACGGUCCAGACUCCUACGGGAGGCAGCAGUGGGGAAUAUUGGACAAUGGGCGCAAGCCUGAUCCAGCCAUACCGCGUGGGUGAAGAAGGCCUUCGGGUUGUAAAGCCCUUUUGUUGGGAAAGAAAAGCAGCAGGUUAAUACCCCGCUGUUCUGACGGGACCCAAAGAAUAAGCACCGGCUAACUUCGU